CCUACGGGAGGCAGCAGUGGGGGAUAUUGCACAAUGGGGGGAACCCUGAUGCAGCGACGCCGCGUGGGUGAAGAAGCGCCUCGGCGCGUAAAGCCCUGUCAGCCGGGAAGAAAAUGACGGUACGUGAAGAAGAAGCCCCGGCUCACUACGUGCCAGCAGCCGCGGUAAUCCGUAGGGGGCAAGCGUUAUUCGGAUGUACUGGGUUGAAAGGGGUCGCAGGCGGCGAUGCAAGCCAGGAGUGAAAGCCCGGGGCACAACCCCAGUACUGCUCUUGGGACUGCGUGGGUGGAGUGCAGGAGGGGCAGGCGGAAUUCCUGGUGUAGCGGUGAAAUGCGUAGAUAUCAGGAGGAACACCGGUGGCGAAGGCGGCCUGCUGGACUGCAACUGACGUUGAGGCCCGAAAGCGUGGGGAGCAAACAGGAUUAGAUACCCUAGUAGUC
rnacentral:rRNA from 1 species